AAGUCGUAACAAGGUUUCCGUAGGUGAACCUGCGGAAGGAUCAUUAGUGAAUAUAAAGGCUAAGCACGCAAGUGCCUGCUUUUCAUACACACAUCCAUAACACCUGUGCACCGUCGGUAGGCGAUCCCUUUGGGGUGAGCCUUCAGACAUUAAACCUUUUUUUACCAAACUAUUAUAAGUAUAAAAUGUAAUAUAUCAUAACAAAAAACAAAACUUUCAACAACGGAUCUCUUGGCUCUU
rnacentral:misc_RNA from 1 species